rnacentral:lncRNA from 1 species
GUUCAAUUAGCAAGUUGAAGCAUUUGCGGUAUUUGGAUCUUUCCUGGUCAGAUUUAGUAACGUUGCCUGAAGAAGUGAGUGCUCUUCUCAAUUUGCAAACGUUGAUCUUGAAAAGGUGCCAACAACUUGCUAGUCUACCUGAUCUUGGAAAUUUGAAGUAUUUACGACAUCUGAAUCUUGAAGCAACAAGAAUAGAAAGGUUGCCUGAAUCUCUGGAAAGGUUAAUCAACUUGCGGUAUCUUAACAUCAAAUACACGCCUUUGAAAGAGAUGCCACAAUAUAUAGGUCAACUGGCAAAGCUCCAAACGUUGACUGACUUUCUCGUGGGAAGACAGAGUGAGACUAGCAUUAAAGAAUUGGGAAAGCUACGACAUCUACGGGGAGAACUUCAUAUUGGGAACCUUCAAAAUGUGGUGGAUGCUCGGGAUGCUGUUGAGGCAAAUUUGAAAGGUAGAGAGCACCUUGAUGAGCUGAGGUUUACAUGGGAUGGUGACACUCAUGACCCGCAACACGUGACAAGCACACUUGAGAAAUUAGAGCCAAAUAGAAAUGUGAAGGAUCUUGAGAUUGAUGGCUAUGGAGGUGUAAGGUUUCCGGAGUGGGUAGGAAAGUCCUCUUUCUCGAAUAUAGUGUCUUUGAGGCUCAGUAGAUGUACAAACUGCACCUUCUUACCACCGCUCGGGCAAUUAGCUUCUUUAGAGCGUCUCUCAAUUGAAGCAUUCGAUAAAGUUGAGAUUGUGGGGUCUGAGUUCUAUGGGAAUUGUACUGCUAUGAAGAAGCCAUUUGAAUCCCUCAAAACAUUACGGUUUGAAGGAAUGCCAGAGUGGCGCGAGUGGAUUUCAGACGAAGGCAGCCGGGAAGGCUUCCCUCUUCUAGAGGAGCUUUUAAUCCAAGAAUGCCCGAACCUUGCAAAGGCCCUACCAUGUCACCACCUUCCACGUGUAACAAGUCUUACAAUUCGUGGAUGUAAGCAGCUCGCGACUCCACUUCCUAGGUUUCCGGAGUGGGUAGGAGAGUCCUAUUUGUCAAAUAUAGUGUCCUUGAAGCUCAUUAGAUGUACAAACAGCACCUCCUUACCACCGCUCGGGCAAUUAGCUUCUUUAGAGCGUCUCUCAAUUGAAGCAUUCGAUAAAGUUGAGAUUGUGGGCUCUGAGUUAUAUGGGAAUUGUACUGCUUUGAAGAAGCCAUUUGAAUCCCUCAAAACAUUAUCUUUUAGAAGGAUGUCAGAGUGGCGCGAGUGGAUUUCAGACGAAGGCAGCCGGGAAGCCUUCCCUCUUCUAGAGGAGCUUUUAAUCGAAGAAUGCCCGAACCUUGCAAAGGCCCUACCUUGUCACCACCUUCCACGUGUAACAAGUCUUACAAUCGGUGGAUGUGAGCAGCUCGCGACUCCACUUCCUAGGUUUCCUGGGUUGCUCUCUCUCAUUGUUUUUGAUUUGCACUCCCUAGAGUCCCUACCCGAGGAAAUUGAUCAAAUGGGUUGUUCACCCUCUGAUUUAGGGAAAAUUAUAAUCCACCGCUGCGCUUCUCUCAAAGGCGUCGCACUGGACUUGCUCCCCAAGUUAAAUUUUCUUCGUAUUCUUGACUGUCCAGAUCUGGAAUCACUAUGUGCAAAUGAAAGACCUCUCAAUGAUCUCACCUCUCUCCAUUCUUUGGAAAUCGAGGGGUGCCCUAAAUUAGUUUCAUUUCCCAAAGGAGGGUUACCUGCUCCAGUCUUGACACAACUUGAUUUAUAUGAUUGCAAAAACUUGAAGCAGUUGCCUGAGAGUAUGCCUUCCCUCCUCCCAUCCCUUAACCGUUUGGGAAUAUAUGGUUGUUCAGAAGUUGAGUUGUGUCCAGAAGGGGUUUUCCCUCCACAUUACAAUUACUUUGGAUUCGUAAUUGCAACAAACUCAUUGCAGGCCGCAUGCAAUGGGGCUUGCUAACGCUCCCUUCUCUUUCACACUUCGAAAUUGGAAUGGACGAAAAUGUUGAAUCCUUCCCUGAAGAGAUGGUGCUGCCCUCAAAUCUUACAUCUCUUAGCAUCUAUGACCUCCAACACCUGAAAUCUCUUGACUACAAGGGGCUUCAACACCUCACCUCCCUUACACGUUUGAGAAUAAGUCGCUGCCCUCGGAUUGAGUCAAUGCCAGAAGAAGGGUUGCCCUCCUCCCUUUCUACUCUUGCAAUUUACAGGUGUCCUAUGCUGGGUGAAAGUUGUGAAAGGGAGAAAGGUAAAGAUUGGCCCAAGAUUUCUCACAUUCCUUACAUAAAUAUUUCCCAAGAUUAAAAGAAGGUUUUCUUUCAAUCGUCCAACAUAUUGAGGUAUUGCUACUAAAUAGUUUAUUUUCCUUUCAGUAAUCAAAGGCAAUUUCAGUUAAAAUUUGGAUGAAUGAAAUACAGAUAUUGUCCAUUUUGUCUGUUUUUAUUUGUUAAAUGUUGAAAUACAGAUAUUUUCUUCCUAUUGUCUCUCAUUCAUCUUCAUAUAUAAUAAUCAUUCUAUUGCAAUAUCUUUUUUGCUAUAAUUAAUGCUACUAUCAAAUGCGGCAAAUGCGGCAAAUAAACAUCACAUGCUUCAGAUUUUGAACUGCCAGCGCCACCCUUAAAAGACAACAGAUUUUUCACAAAAACUGACAAUGGCAAGGGCAGUAAUGGACUCGUUAAUCCAUCGAUGCUUCUCGAGAAGAUGACCAAUCAGAAUGCAAGCACAAAGGAGUGCCACAAACAAGGUAAUUGAAUGGAUUGGGGCUUGAUCAGGUUCCAUACCAUCCUCAAACCGAAAUUCAUCGUAUCAGAAUUGGACCCAACCCUAUAACUAUACAAGGAAAACGAAAACAAAAACAAAAACUGUCAAACAAACUGAAAUCAAUCAAAUUCAAGGUGAUCGAUCACGCAAUUAAUACACAGAGUAACUAGGGUUCCAAAUUACUUCUACAAAAGAAAUUAAUAAAAAAAAUGAAGUGAGAACCUAGAAAGACUCCUUCUCUGAUCUUUUUAGUUUUUACCUUGCAGUUGCAGCCUUGAGAUUCUCUUCAGAUAAAAAGGAAAAGGAAAGCGUUUGGAAUAAUAUAUAUAUAUUUGGUUCGAAGAAAGAGGGAGAGAAAACUUAAAAGCCAAGCAAGAGAAUAUGUUGUCCUUUCUGAGAGAAAGCCAAGUGUGAGGAGUGGAAUGGAGACGACGUCAACGUGUGUGGGCGUGUGUUCGCCUGGAGAGAACGAUUUUAAGUAUAUAUUCCCCCACUUCUGCUGCUGCUGCAUCUGACUAAACGAGAGAUAACCCGGAUUUAUUUGAUUUUGACUUGGAGAGACAGUUUGGCCGUUUGGGGGAUGGAGGGAAUCUUAAUGCAAGCAAAAACCGCGAAACUGCUUCCCUUCCUUUAUUUAUUUAUUCCUUUAUUCAUAUCACGUGAUUUCGAGGGUUCCACACAGGAUAUCACGUGAUUUCAAGGGUGCCGGAAUGUCUUUAAAAAGAUUGUUUUUUAAAAGUAUUUUUAAAAAACAAUAUAUUAAAAAUAAUUAUUUUCAACAUUGAUAAAUUAAAAUGAUAAAAAAAAACAUCAAAAAAUAAUUUUAAAUAAAAAAAUAAACUUUUGUGAAACGUUUUUUUGUACCUUGUCCCUAAACCUCAAUUUUCAUUGCCUAGCAGAGCUGAAAAGGAUUAAAAAAUAUUUAAGUAAUCUGCAACAGAUUUUUCAUUGUUGACGCGGCAAAAUCAAAAUUCAAAAUUUAAGUAAUCAAAAGGAUUAAAAUCUCCAUUCUCUCCUUUUCUCCUUUUCCGCAUCUCCAAAAAUUCAAAAAAUUUUCCCCACCUCUUUCUCUACAAAAAUUCAAAAUCCAAAAACUUUUGAUUUAUCUAUUUUAUUAUUACUUAACUUUGAUUAAAAAACUUUUCUUGAAGUUUACUUUCACCAAAGAUCUUUUAUAGAUAUAAAAAGAAGAGAUAAUAUAAAACAAGUAGAUACGUAGCUAUAUUAACAACAAUACUUCAAGCAUGCACAAAUGCGACUUCUUGAUGGUUACGCUGCUAAAGACAUUUACAAAUCCCCAUCAAUACUGGUGUUUAUUCCUCAUGAUGAUCCAGUGAGCUGACAAUAAAAGAAAACCUCGGCAUUACAAGUAAAUCGAUCGUCACUGCAAGCAUAAUGCAAGCAUGGAAGAGAUUCGGGUAGGAAUUACCCUUGUCUUCAUUGAGAGGCUUUAACCUCCCUAGCUCCUUCAUCAGCAGGCCCAUUGUUUGAUGCAUCCUCUGAAGCGUCUAAGCAAGGAUUGCUUUUACACUAACUUACAGUGUCACGACCCGAAUCCCGGAUCCAUGACCGGCACAUAGACAAGGUUCUCAUCCAAGGUUCCAUACCUAUACGAACCCAAACUUACACACAAACUUAUCCUAACUCAAUCAGAGUUCAACGCAGCAUUAAUAACAAAAUCAACUUCAUAAUAUAAUUGAAUUGUCUUAAUACAAGAGUUCAUAUAAUUCAUAGUUUUGGAGCACUAACUUGACAAAAAAAAAAGGUACAAAUUACAACCAAAAAGCAGGUUUGGAAGGUUCAACAAAAGUAACCUGCUAUCAAGCAAUAAGCCUGAAAAGAAUAAUAAUGAGAGGGUGAGUUCAACAACUCAGUGAGUAGAUAGCGUUCAAAAUACACACACGAGGUAAUACAGUAAUGAGAAAUAUAUAUACAAGUAUGACUCUAGGUUCUUAUAGAAAUGUUUCUCAAAUAGGCCAUAACAAGAAUAUCAUAUGGUAAAACUCGUCAGAAAAUCAAAAUGCAAUGAGCAUGAGGCUCCGUACUGUGGGAUGAUCAGUCCACACAGGUUGGUGACUCCCCCGACCAACUAAGGUUCAGAUACGAUGUGCACAAAGACUAACACUACCCUGUUAGCAUGGGUAUUCUGACUGACAUACCAUAGGUUCAUAAUCAUAAUCAAACAGACAUAUUCAUAUCUCAAAGCUCAACUCAUGACAUCAAUCAAAUGAGGAGCUAUCAAUUCAGAAGUCAAUUCAGAAUAUAUAUACUGGUUCAUAUCAAUAAUUCGGAUUCAACAAUUGAUCAUGCUUAUCAUAACAAGGAUAAUAAUCAACAUAUAUAUUAUCAAGAAGCAUGAUCCAAUUCAUAUUAACAAAUCAAAUAUUUAUAAUAUUUCUCAUGCAUAUGGAAAAUUAUCCACUCACCUGACUAGAAAGCAAACAGAAGUAAAAAUAAGACACCGAAGAAAAUCCUACUGACGUCCCGCCGAUAGAAUAUCAGGAUUAUCUGAAUACAAAGGAGGCAUAUUCAAGAACGACUCGAAAGAAUAUUUAACUUAUUUAAUACACUUAACUAGGUGUAUUCCGUAAUCCUAUAUGUUUUUGAACUAACUAGUCAAUUUUCUCAAAAACCCAAAACUCUAACGGUUUUUCCGAAAUCUAAUCCAUAACAAAACAAAUAAUAAAAUUGGUAAUAAUUUACUAAAUAACCCUCAAUUAUUCAUCAAACCAAUCUGAAAAAGGUAAUAUUACAGCUAGGGACUAAUCUGUAAUUUAUCAUAUUUUUAAGGCCAAAUUGUAAUUUUCGUCUAAUUAGAGGACCAAACUAAACAUAUCAUAAAUUCAUGAAUAUAGUGGAAUUAUGUCCAUAAUUCAUCCUCAUUUCUGUCCAGAUCAUCUCAUUAUACUCCAGGGACCAUUCUGGAAUUUUACCAAAUUUUUAGGGUCAAAUUGUAAUUUUUGUCAAAUUGGAGGACCAAAUUGAAAGUGUUAAAUUCUCUUAUCUAUACAGUAAUUCUGUCCAUAAUUCAUAUGUUAUUCUGUUCAGAAUACCGGAAUAUGCUCCAGGGACCAAUUUGUAAUUUUCCAAAGUUCAGGACUAAACUGUAAUUUUCGCAAAUUGAGGGACCAAAUUGAAUUUUCGUCAUCUUCAACCUCCAAUCCAGAAUUUUAACAGAAACCUACUGUUCUCCCCUGAUUUUUAACUCAAAAUUCACCAUUCAAACAAAAUUAUAACUCAAAAUCAUCACAAUCUUCCAUAAUCAACUAAAUCAUCAAUUAACCACAACAAUCAACCCCUAACAUUCAAUUUAAUUCAUCAGUUAAACUCAAAACACAAAUUUCAUAACCCUAACAUUUAUCAAAACCGAAAUUAAAGCUAAAGAAAACAUAUUAUACACAUUAAAGCAUAAUCUUACCCCUUUUUACUUAUUUCCUCCAACUCCUUUUCUUUUUCCCUUAUUUUCCUCUCUUUUCUCUUCUUCUUCUUUCUCACUUCACUCCUGUGGUUCUCUCUAAAUUUCAGAUUUCUCUCUUUCUUUUUUUUCGUUUUUUUACUUUGAAUUUACACUUUUUCAAGUUUUUAUUGAAAUUACCACUAUACCUCUCAUUUAUUUAUUCUAACUUUUAAACCUUCAAAGGUUUUAUUGUAUUUUUCAUCUCAUUAAUUCAAGACAUUACAUACAGGCUGAGCAUUGGUCAAGAGACUAGAAAGUUGAGACCCCUUUUGCGAAAAGUUUGGUUUACCUUUCGGAGUCUCAGACAGGCUUCCCGUUGACAGCUUUGCUAGGCCCAUUGUCUUGUGCUCACACGGGAGCUUGGUUGAAAAAGGUGAUUCAGGUGUAUUAGGAUGCUUCCCAGGAAUAUCCAUCGGUCUAUGAAACAGCAAAUGAGCCACAGUCCGGUCUACAGGAUUGGUCUCUGUUUCCACCUCAGGCAUCUUAACUACCCUGCAGAAUACUCAUAAAAUCCAUGAGGAAAAUGACAGGAAAGUUUGAGAUUGCCAUACUCUAAACAAAUUGAUAAAGACUUGAUUAAUAAUUUUGUGCAAACAAAUUGAAUAAUUUGAAAUGGGAAGGACGAGAUGUAAAUGAACAAACCCAUUGGAACAAGAAACAAUCACAUUGUCGCUUACAACAAAAAAUCGAGUUUCAGCUCAAAAGAGCUUAUGGUUUUGGCUGGAAGUAUCCCAUUUAGAUAUAGAUGAGCCCCAGUGGCGGAGCCACAGUGGGUCAAAAGAGAGCAAUUGUCCCCUUAUUUUUUUUAAAUAUUAAUAUAUUAGUGAGAGUGAAUUAUUGCUACAGCCUACAGGUAAGGAAAGUUUUUAACUUUUAUUAUUGUUGACUAACUUGACUUAUAUAUACAUAUAUAUAUAUAUAUAUAUAUAUAUAUAUAUAUAUAUAUAUAUAUAAUUACAGCUCCCCAACUUUUCCCCUUUUCCUUUUUGUUUCUCCUGUCUAACAAAACAAGGGUUUUUUUUCAGCUGCCGUUCUUGCCUCUCCUCGUCUCCUGAAUGCAAAUUUCUCAUGGAUUAAUUUUUUUUUGCGUUUUACUUUAUACUUUAUUUUUUCUAUUUAUUUUAUUGUUUAAUUUUAGUUUUAUUCUUUUAUAAUUAGUUAUUAAAAAUAUUAGGGUUUAUGAUAAUUUAGGGGUUUUGUUAUAAAUAUGUUCAAAAUAAAUAUUUAAAUCUGCUAAUUUAAUUAAUUAAAUAUUUAUUUUCUUAUUAUAAAUAAAUAAAUUAAUAUUCAUGCAAAACCACUAUUCUUGACAUCUCUUGCAUUGAUAGAGUAGUUUAUUGAAAUUUAAUAUUUUUACAUGAUUUGUUUGUAAGUAAAAUAUCAAGUAGAAAACAUGUUUUUCAAGCAUUGUCCCUCUUAUACAUACACUAGGCAUUGUUCCUUAAUUAAAUGUCUAGAAAUGAUUAAGUAUAAUUUAAUCAACAUACUUAUUAUAUGCAUAUAAAUAUGAAUUGAAAUAGGUUUUGAUUUUGAUGAAUUGACGUGUAUUUUGCUAUUAAUUUUAUAUGAAAGAUGUAUAAUUAUUGUGUAACUCAACUGACUUUUGUUUAAUAGUGAAUUAUUAUGUAGUUGUGUUAAUUAUUAUGUAGACACUAAUGAUAAAAAAAUCCAGCAGGUUCAUAUUAAAUUAACAUGUUACUAGACAAAUAUUUCAAGCGUAAAUCUAUUGAGGAUGAAGAGUCAAUCAAAGCUUCAAGUCAUGUAACUCAAUCAAGUUCAAAGAAAAGUCAUAUUGAAAUCAACCCCGACACUCUCCUUGUUGACCCUGGCUUAAGAAGACCAAUUUAUAAGUACCAUAUAAAUGAUAGGGAUGCAAUCCGAAGAGCUUAUCUACAAAAAGAUCCUUGUCAACCUUCACACUAUGAUUUUCCAUAUAUGUUUGAAUUGAUUUCUAAUGCAUGUCUAUAUAAUAUAGUAUUUGUUAAUAAUUUGCCUCCUCAUUUAAAAAACUCUGGCUCCGCCACUGAAUUGAGCCGAUUAGAAGAUGAUUUGAGUUCUUAAAUUUUCUUGCUUAAAAUGUAAUGUAACAUGAAUCUGCAGAUGAUCAUUAAAUUAGAAGGGAAAUUUAAUUUUGCCCUGUUUAUCUAAAGUUGUGCAAGUUCUCUGCAUUGAUGAUUUCAGUGAAUCUGUACAGAUCUUGUUUUCCUUCUAUUUGUCCUUGAAUAAACUUAUUGCACUUGUUUAACAUUCUUUGUCUCUCUCUCUUAGUUAAAUCUAGCAAAAUUUAUGAGGUAUGUUGUGCCACUCAUUUAGACUUGGAUGUGCGUGUUUAGCUCUCCUUUUUGGAUUAAGGUGAUUAUGCACAAAUUCAAUGGAAUCAACAUUGCAGAAAACUUGCAUAGAUUUUGUUAAUAUUGGAAAAAUUAAAUUUCCUUUUCUAAUUAAAUGAAAAUCUCUACUAAAUAAUAUGCUAUUUGAAUUGUCACUGCACUCAUGAAUGCUGCACCAGGGUAAAGCUACAAAUGUCAGUUUAAUAUCUGCCUCUACCUAGCUCGGCCUACAAUACCAAAGCUUCUCUCCUACAAAUGCCAGUUUAAUAUCUGCCUCUACCUAGGUUGGCCUACAUACAAUACCAAAGCUUCUCUCAACUAAACAUGAUGACCAGCACUCACAACCAUAACAGAACCAGUGGAAGCCAACUACUACAUAUUUGAUCAACAAGGUCAAAUUCAGUCAAGUUUUUAAGGAAAUCCAGUGAAAGAGGAACCUAAAAUUUUCUGUUUAGAUUUUCUUCUACUGCUAAGAACAAGCGCGGCCUUAAAUUGAAUUGUUUCAGUCACUACUCCUCCAUUGUAAAUAGAGGAUACCGCUUUCAAUAUUUAUUUCUAGAAGGAGAAUGGAAAACAGAAAAUGGCAUUAAAAGAUCCUAAUUUAACAUUUCCAUAGAGCAAAAAUGUUAAAAAAAGAGAGAGGAUAGAUUAAAUUUGAAAACAGAGGCAUGAGAAAUGCAUUGCCUUAACCAACCUUCUUUGACUGCUGGUUUCCUCUUUUGCAGCAACUUGUUCGUCCCUGCUACUAUUGUUUGUACUGCCAGUAUCACUAGCAUAAUGCCUUUGCAUUGCACUUUGAGCCAGCCGGAACAAGCUAUCCCGAAUACAAAGUCUAAUUCUGACAUCCAACUGUUGUAAAACAUUGGUUUGGAAUCGUAACCAAGCACAAAUUAUUUAGCAGGGAAAGAAUGCAAUAGUACGUGAAGCAUACCUUUGAAAUAAUAUCUUGAAGCCUGUAGAGUACUGUGUCCUCCAUUGAAUAAUCAUUAACCGCCAGAGAGACUGUAUUGGAAUCGUCUUGCUCAAUAGGUGAGUUUGGGUCAAAUGAAGCAAGUGUACUUAGAUCCUCUACUUCAAGGUCAGCUCCUUCAACAUGCUGAAUUUGAUUUUCUUGGGAACACUUUUGAUGAACAAGCUGCUGCUGCUGUUUCUGAAUGGCAAGCAUUGCCUGAAUUUGUUGCCGCCUCAAUUUUUCAAUCUUUUCCUGAGGUGUCAUUCUCUGGGGUUUCACUGGACAGUCAGCUAACUUGUUUAUAGGAUUUGCAUUGCCUGAAACUUCAUAACCAGAAAUUUUAGGUCGAUGAUUAAAUGACUAGAAAUUUUGUUGGGAAGUCAGAAAACUUUAACAGGAUUCGCAUUACCUGAAGAAACUUCAUAACCAGAAGCUAAAGGUUGAUGCUUAAAAUCCCCAGACUGAAUGUGGGACAACCCAGGCAUAGAAUAUGGAUUUGUAGUACUCCCGUAUGCAGAAGGGGCCACAAAUGGAUUGGAUAUCUGCUGGUACUGCAACUGCUGGUACAUCUAUAAUCAAAGUAAAAGGCCAAGAUUCAAAAUAUCCAAAAGAAAUAUUACCUACUUAUAUGCCAAAAAUGGCCAAAACUCUGAAUCCUGAAUAUGUGAAUCAAAGGUAUCUCUAACUGAUGCACCAUCAGCAGUCUCCUAUUUUGACUUGUGAUUAAUGACCUAGCAGUUCACUUCAACAACAUCAUUGAAAGGUCCCUAGUGAACAUAAGUUUGAAUUUCAGACCCAGCAAGAAGAAGUUCAUUUUCCAGUAGGCAUGCAUAUCACCUUUUUAUCAAUAUCCAUGGAAGACAAAAACCAAGCAAUAUCAAGUUUUUUUCUGCUGGAUAUCCAAUAAAAAAUACCUCAAAGUGUGAACAUCUUUAAGAAGGAGGAUAUCGCAUUGCACCCCAUCAACUGAUCCACAAAUAAAUUGGCAUUUUUCCAUCAGUUCCAAGCUACUUUGUAAGGAAAAGGGAGGGAAGUGCCUUCAAAGAUACCUUCUUCAUAGCUUCUUUAGAUAUGAAUCCACACGACUUUCGUAAUCACCAAUCACUAUGCGCACCUUCUCUUAUCAUCACAAGUUCCCAAGAAAAAUUAUAUUCUUCCCUCCUCCAGCCCUUUCCCUACAUAUUUCCACCAGCUUCAUAGCAAUGCGGCCCGUGAAAACGACUCCCAAAUUAAAACACUUGAGAAGCUCUAAUAGUUUUCCACAAAGACCUACUUUUCUUAUUAUUUCUUCACUCUAUAUAUGUCAGUGUGCCAUAUUCAAAUACUACUGAUCGAUUCUUCCUCCUCACAACCACUCACUUUCCCCUAAAUCCCAUACCACAACCACUCCUUAAUCUUCAACUAAAUCAAUAUCUCUCAUCACUUAUGAAAACUCCAUCUAAUUUCCAAAUGAAUCACACCAUUUGAACACUUUGCCAAUUCCUAAUUCCUUCAAAAUUUUCAUCCAUUAAAAAAAAAACUGCAAGUCAUACUUUUUCACUUUAACACAGUUCUCCUUAUAAUCAAUCUUCCAAAAUAACCAUACUAUUGCCUCUAAAUCUGGCACGCAAAGCUUCUACAUAACCUUCCAACGUUACUUCUUGCCGCCCAACAAGGGCGGCGGCAUGCAUGGGCUAGGGUAGGCUCUAGUACAGGUCAAGAUUUUAUCAAUAUUUUUGUAUUAGUUUUAUGUAAAGAAAAUAUGAUGCUUUAGUUUGGGUUAAAAUUUCAGAAUUUUUAAAGAAAUUCAGAAAUUUGAUAAAAAAAAUCAUAAUUUGACCAGUUUUACGUUAUUGAGUGUAAUUUUUAAUCUGAUUAUCAGAUUGAGCUAAAAUUUUACGAGGGAUCUUAAAAUAUAUUGAAUAAAAUCUGGUUUAAAUUUUAGAAUGAACAGAGUUUGGUAGUGCUAACAAAAAAAAAACAUCAAAUAAAAGCAAAACGACUCAUUAAAGGUAAAAUUGUUAUUUGCCAUUAAAAAAUAAAACAAAUCAGUUCUUCCUUCCUUUAUAUGUUGCCGACUGGGCAGAAGCAUAAUAGAAAAUGAAAGAAAAGAAAAGGCGAGAGAGAAAGAGAGAAAAAUAAGGGAAAAACAUAAAAAAAAUCCUAGAAAAAAAGAUAAGAAAAGUGAGAAAAUAACCGUGUAAACUUACAAAGUCCAACUUAUAAAAUAUUAAUCUAAGUAAGAAUCAAGUGAAGAAAAGAGGAAUUGAGAGAGAAACAAAAUUUAAUUACUCUAUUUUUAAUUAAUAUAAAAUUAUUAUUUUAUCCCGAUUAAGAGAUUGCUACAAACUCCUCAAAGUACUCAAAGAGGGACAUAAAUUGGUUAAGCCAACAUUUUUCAUUCUUCUAUUUUCACGCUGGCAUUCUGUUACAAAUACUAACUGAAAGAGCGGAUAAAAGAACAACUUCCAAUUAUCAAGCAAUAGCCAACACGUGGCAAGAUUCUCAGCUAAAUAAAAGAAACACCAACAUUUAAACGAUGUGUCUGGGUGGUAAUUGAAACGGUGUGUUUUGUGACACAAUACCCCUACAAUCGUCUAACAGCCAUGCGGUGCAUUUAGUAGGAUUCAAACAUCUUGCAACGGUCACUAGAUUCAAAUGCUCUCCAUCCUCGCCUCCUCCCCUUGAUGAUUCUUUUGACCCUGCAAGUUCUGUGACAAUCUCUCUCUCUCAAUUAAAUCUAGCAAAAUUUAUUCUUUCCAACUUUAUUUGUUUUGACUGAAAAAUAAUCUUUUAUUUUUGUACUUCACAGGCAUGUGGUGGCAAAAGUCGAGCACUAUAUAUAUAUAUAUAUAUUCCUGAAGAUACAUAUGGCUGGUGAUUAGCGGAUGAUGGUGCCAUUAAGACUCUUGGUGUGUACCCUCAUCCUUUCUGCUUAUAGUUGAGUCCAUUUGCAGCUUCAAUGGCUACUAUCAGUUGCUUUGGAACCUGAUAUCACUAGUCUCAUUAUGGUACAGACAAGCUCAGGAUGAUCAAUCCUUGAGAAUCCACAUCCAACCAGAAAUAAACCGAAUUUCGAGCAUAAAUGACUCGAACUCGCUGGAAUGCUUUGGCACCUCCUUCAAUCCUAGUUUGGGAAACAGAAACACUAUCACCAUUAGUUUUCACCGAGGAAGACAGCACCCCCAUUCUCUCCUGCUGUGCUGAUGAUGGGGCAUGAGAGAUAGUCCAAAGGAUUUGCCUCCCUCCUGCCGCAAGCAAUUAGAAUGGUUAUCACCAGACCUAUAAGGAUCAGUUUUUCUUUUCGGACUGAAAAAAACAUGAAGAGAGAAGUCACCAUAUGUGUACCUAGCCGCAGAGACAGCUGUUUCAGUGCUGGGGAAAACUCCAGGCUCUGAUAAAUCUUUGGCAGAUCGUUCUGUGGCGAACGAGGGCGGUGGUAUACUGCAAACUCAAAAGCAAUUUGUGACACAGAUUACUCAAAAUUAUGCCACAAGUGUCAAGGGUGUAAAUCUAUCAUGAAAUCAUCACGUCGUUGUUUUCCACUCGGUAUAAAAAAGAAGUCACACGCCUUAGAGGUUAAAUAAAUUUAUGAAGUUCACCAGCAUAAUUCACACUAAUUCCCCUCUCCAACUUGCACCUCAUCAAUUUUUAUACCUUUACUCUCGAACGAAAAUAAUAAUAUCUAAGUUAUUAAACCCAACUUGAAUUAUAAUUCAAGCAGUGGGUUAACAUAAAUCAAUACAAAGUGAUGUGACUUUUAAGAGUUUUUUGAAAAAACAAAUUAAAAUGAUGUGAAUCUUUUUUAAAUUAAACUGAGUUUUAAUUGAUUAAAUAAGUUGGAUUACACCAGUCAAAUCCUAUCCGAUUUAAUUUAAAAUCCAAUCCAAUCUCUUAACUUACCUUGAGUUGGGUUAACACUAUUAUUGACAGACCAAAUUCUCAAUCUUUAUUUAUUAUAAUCACGAUCCAACUCAUUAAUUUUAAAUGGGCCUACAAAACCUUCAACUUGCCAUAAAAAAUAAAACUUCAUACUCAUACUCAUUAGCGGUUCUGCAUCCUAUUUUAUAAAAGACACUCCAACAUAAUUAAAGUAGUAUUUAAUAUUUUGGUAGUAAUUAUUCUUUAAAGUAUUUUUUAUUUAGAAAUAUAUAUAAAUAAUUUUUAUUUUUUAUUUUUAAAAAUUAAUAUUUAACAUUAUAUAUUAAAACAAUCUAAAAACAUAAUUUUUUUAAAAAACUAUUAUUAUUUUAAAAAAACUGUAUCACCAUACAAACAAAUCCAAAAACACAAUUAUUUUAAAAAAAUUAUAUCACCGUAAAAACAAAUAAUUUUUAAGAGUGACAGUGAGCAACAGAAAUAAACCAUGGCAGAAACUAAAAACACCUUUAAUGAAAAUUGCGCUUCGAUUCACAACGUUUUCAUCCUUGACCAAUGCUCGACAAAGUAGACGAUGGGUCAAAAUAGGGCUAAUAUGCUGUGUAUGUUUGAUAAUGCAGUGAAUAUAAUUUUCUAAAAAUAUUUUUCGAUUAAUAAAAUAUUUCUUAAAGAAAUUUUCAAUAAUUUUGUUAAGAAAUUUGCGUGGACAGACAUUUUAAAGAAUGAUGCUAAAUUUGGUGUUACAUAGGCAGCUGCUGGCUCCUCUUGUAUCUUUUGGGGUUUGGCAUCGUUUGUUUCCUGCCGUUGUCUAUUCUCCGGUCGUCGAAGCUGACUGCAAUCCUCUGACUCUGUUCUCAUAGUCAGAUGCUUCCUCUGUUUUCUCCUGGCAUUAAAAUUACAGCUGACCUUCAAAUCUUAUUGAUGAUAUGCCUUUGGUCAUUUUCAUGAAUGGUGCUUGGUGUUGUCUUCUAGUGUUUGCAGUACUGAAUAUGAAAUGAGCUACGCCUGGUUACUCAAUUCAUUAACCUCCCUACUUUUAAUUAUAUAUAUAUAUAUAUAUAUAUAUAUAUAUAUAUAUAUAUAUUUUCUAAUCCAAGUAAAAUGAAUUAUAUUAUUUUUUAAAAUAAAUUUAAUCUCAAAUAAAAAUUUUACUUUCUAAAAUAAAAUAUGAAUUAUAUUAUUUUAAAAAUUUGCUUGAGUUACAUGAGGUUUUAUGGCAGCCCAGUAACGGACUCUUAGCAGAAUACCAGGCUGUUAGGCCUCCCUUUUCAUCAUUUUGAGCUUUACCGGUUACGCUUUUUUUGAGGAUGAAUAUUCUUAUUUAUUUUAUUUUUUCAACUUAAGGAUGAACAGUAUGUUUAUUAAAGACUGCAUUAACAGCCGGCUGCUAUUUUGAGUUCUGCGGGGCUUUUUGGAAGUGCCUUCCGUUUAGGGAAAAUUUGGAUUUUUUAUUUAAUUUUUUUUUACAUAAUGUUUAAAAUAAUUUUAAAAAAUAAAAAAAUUAUGGUAAUGUAUUUUUACUUACUUUAAAAAUCAUCCACUUGAUUAAUGGGCAUUAGCUGUUUAACACCACAUGGUAAAAACUUCGGGUUCCUUCCCUACGUACCCUUUUCCUCACUGGUUCUACAAUGUCUCUGGGUGGGUCCAUCUGUGCAAGUGCCUUGUAAAAUUGCCUUAUUCAGUAGUAUUUGUAAUUUUGUGUAGAGCUGGUAUCAUUCUUUGAAAUCAUAGUUAUUACGUCAUUGAGUUAACUCGUGUGUUAAUUAUAGGAUCAAUCAUUUUACUUUGUUUUUUUUCUUUAAAAAGAACAAAAUUUCUUGUAUUGACCUCAGUGUAUUUAGAUAAGAUUUUAUCAGUACAGUUGGGUAAUUAAGAAUCUAGUUGAGUCAAAUGGUUUUUGAUCAUAUUAAUGUUUUUUCUAGUUGAAUUUUAAACAUGAUCUAGAUUAGACUCUAGAUUAUGAAUUCCAUGUAUUAACUCACCAUCAAAUUUAACAGCUUUGCUAUAUUUUGGAAUAACAUAUAUAUAAAUAAAAAAAUUAAUAUAUUUUGAAGUAAAAUAUAUUUUUAAAACAUAUUUAAAAAAACAAACAAUAUUUUACUCACAAACAGAUAAUCCUAUUGCAUCUUAAACUCCAAGUUUCCAACAAUGAGUACCCCCAACUAAACAAUAUCUACAUUCAAUUAGAACUUGUGGUAUAGUUACCUGACAGCGAAAUAAAAAAGAAGAAGUAGGAACCCCCCUGGAUCUAGGAAAUUUCUAUUAGACCUGCAAACUGAGGCCGUAACGAGCUUUGGAUCUACACACAGGGAAGAGUAAUUUCAAUAGACCAUGAUCCAAAUCAACGGCUGAAAUCUAAUAACUCAAGGGAUAGUGACACGUUGCCAGGAGUGGAAGACAGCUGGUCUCCAGUACGAAGAGAAACAGCAACGUUUUUGUUGUUUAAAAUGGAGUGUUUGUCUUCAUUGUUUCAUGGGAAAUGGGCUGAUGUCAGAUGGAGAAAUUUCUGUGCCGAUCCACUGGAGAGAGAGACUUCUUCAACCACCAAUCAAAUUAUUCUUAUUGACUUUCUGUGCAGUUUGGCACUUUCCUUCGCUCAUUCUCUCUUUGCACCACAAACACUUGGUAUUUUAAAAAGAGAAACUAAGCACGGUUUUGCUGUCAAAGUUGUUGUUUUCGUAUUUUAAAAGAGUUUUUUUAAAAAAUUAAUUUGUUUUUUAUUUUUUAUCAAUUUUUUAAUUGUCUCCAUAAUAGAAAGAUACCAUCCCCACAAUACAAAACUCUUAAAAAAAAAGAUACCUGUCGUUGUGCUGUUUUAUCGAUAUCACAAGCCACGCGAGUAGCGUGAUUAGAGUGAUUUUGUAUGGGACCCAGUUGUGACAUCAGCUGCUUUUGUGUUUUUUCUUUCAAUCACAGCUUGAUAGUAGGCAUGGCAUGAUUGAUGAUUGAUGGGGGGAGGGGAAAUGGGAGCCACACGAUCCAUUUCAUGGUUGGUUGGUUUUUUUAUUAACGUGGUUUUACUGUCGGUUUGCUUCUAUUUUAACUAAUUUUACAAAUCUAAAAUAUAACUAGUUAACCUGCUGUUGUAUUAUUUUAUUUCACGGUUGUUUCUUGCUUGUGGAAGAUCAUGUCAUAACGGAUCUUACGGGAUCGAUACCUUGCUCGGUGUUGAUUUACUACAAUGGCUGCACGUGAACCCGUCCACCAGAACAAAUCCCAACCAGUGUCCGUCUAUCACACUCAAAUUAAUUUGAGAUUUCUGUUCCAGUGCCUCCAGAGAAGAGUAUAGUUGUUAAUCAUCUUUUAUUUUUGUGUUUUAUAAUUUUUUUAGGGUAAAUUCUCAUAUAACUUAUCAUAAUAUCUAAUCUCUACAAACCGACUGCAUCAUUAAAUUUAAUUUUCUUGAAAUAUUUUUUAUGAACAAGCUCCCAUUGCUGUUUCUGAUGACAAGCAUUGCUUAAUUUGUUAUUGCCUCCUUGAUUUUAAAUAUAUAUUUAAAAAUUAUAAAUCAUUUACAUAUAUAAAUUUGGAUACCGAGGUUAAUCAUGUUGGAUAAUAUCACUUCCACCUCCAUAUCCAAACAAGUAAGGUUUUUUUUAUCCAUCAUUAUGGAACAAAAAUCCCUCCAUAUUCACUUUUAUUCAGGUAAAUGGAUGUGAACGGGUUCAAUUGUCAUUUCUAAAAUUAAUUAAGCCCAAGUUAUCGAUAAAUGUAUUAGGAAAUCAAGUUUUUAUUAUUUAUUAUGAUUUUUAAUAUAUUUAUAUAGUAAAAUCCCUCGUAUAUAUAUUGAAUGCUCUUUCUCCAUCAAAGCUAAUGGAAAUGUGUAUAAAUUAUCAUUUUCUCCCCCAUUUAAGUUUUUGACAAUCAAUCGAUGGUUUGAUAGCAUUUAAUAUAUAGAUCACUGACCUGCUGGUGAGCAUUACCAAGCAUGUUCUGCAGCCGAAGCUAGAAAGACUACCUGCUGAGCAGAAGCAACAACUGGUGGAUAAGUAUAAGAUGGAAGACAAACAGGUAUUAUAUAGCUCUGAGGUGUGAUGGCAAAGAUUGAAUAACAUUAUAAAGGGGACAUACUCUUGCUUUCAGCAUCCUCGUGUGGAUUUAACUAGCACUCAUCUCAUUUCACAUUCACAGGCCUCCCUGUUCCCAGAAAUUAGCUCAAUGCUCCUUUUAGUUCCUCAAGAUUUAAUUUUGGUGGAAUCUAAUUAAUAACAGAUAAAAGCAACAUUCAUAAGCAGAUUGUUUCAGAGCUCUUAACUGCAAGUUCAGGGGAAAUGCAUUUAAGCCUGGAACGGUGCGGGGCCUGUAUCUACGUUUAUGCCUAAGAAUAGUUUCUCUUAAGUUAUGAUUAGAAGUAUAAAUUUGAAGUCACAAGCUAGCAGUGAUGGUGAAUUGUGUUUGAACUCUUUGCAUUUCAUCAUCCUCUACUGCCAUGACACGUCCUAGAUGACUGGAUGCUGUGGAUGUGACCUGGACCAUAGCCAUGACAGUCUCCUUUCCUACCCUUUUCCUCGCUGGUUCCUUGACAUCUUCGGGUGGGUGCAGGUGCCUUGUUAAAUUGUCUGAGUCAUUAUCGGUAAUUUUGUGCAGAACUGUUAUUAUUCUUUGAAAUCAGACCGGGUUCGAGGAUCGAGUAUAAAAGAAUUUGGAAUCAUUUUAUUAAAAUGAUUUUUUUAAAAACAAAUUCCUUAGUAUUUAUUUAAUCAAGUUUAAAUCAGAUUUUUAUCUGGUCAAAUAAAUCAUUAAAAAUUCAAUUGAGAUAAUAAGAUUUUAUCAUAUCACCAUUUUUUCUAAUUCAAUUUUAAACUUGGUUUAUAUCAAUAUUUGGAGGAUGUGCUCUCCAUAUGAAAUCAGUAUGCAGGAAAGAGUUUAAAAACUAUACUAUAUAUAGAAAAAAUAUUUUGAAAUAAAAUGAUAUAUAUAUAAAACCCUCAAGGUCUAGGGUCCACCGGUGAAAGCAUGAAGUGAAGGGUUCUUCUGCAUUAUUAGCACAAGUGAAAAGAAAGAUUAUAUUGGGCAUAUAAUAAAGUUAUUCCAACCAAACCCUCUUUUUCGACCGAUGGGGUCUCUUGGCAAAUAAAUCAAGGACAGACCGAUGGGGUCUCUUGGCAAAUAAAUUAUAAUUAAUUUUUUUUUGGAGUGAUUUUUUAUCUUUUGAUUAUGUAAAAUUUAGUAUUUUGUUUUUCCUUUAGCUUCUGCAAUUUGAUAUUUACGUUCAAUUUCUAUAAUUUGUGUUGUGUUUUGGAGUAAUCAUAUAAUUUCGAGAAUAUAUUUAUUUAGUUUCUGCGAUAUCUAUUCACUUUCUGUAAUUUGAUACUUUAUUUUUCGUUGCUUUUGCUUUCUGUUUUUUUAUUUGUUAAUUAUGGCUACCGAAAUAGAUGAUUCGUUUCAGUCUGUGAGAGGUUGGAUGAAAAUAAUUAUUCGUACUAGUAAUGAGAAAUUUCUUUAAGGGUAAGAAGAUGUGGGUGUAUGUUAGUGGAACUUAUAUGAUACCCAAGAAUACCGAGAAAAGUGAUGUUAUUUUGAUAGAUAUAUGGGAAGCAAAUAAUACAAAGAUUAUUAUUUGAAUCAACAAUUCUGCCGAGCAUUCUAUAGGUAUAUAGUUGGCGAAGUAUGAGACAACAAAGAAGAUUUAAAAUCAUCUGCAAAGAUUAUUCAUGCAAUCAAAUUUUAUAAAGCAAUAUAAUACCCCCAAAAGUCAUGGUAGUAAUGAAUAUUUGAUUUUUUUUUAAUGAAAACUAGAGAACUAUAUUAGAAGAAAAAAACCUGCUAUUUAGGAUUAAUUAAUUGCUUUAAUUCAAUUCUUUCUAUUGACAUUGAUACCAAACAUGUUAAUUCAUAAUAUAAUCAAGUAAUUCAAUUCAAAUUUACUAAUACAAUUCAACUCCACUUAAGCCUUUGAAUAUAGCCAAAUGCAAAGGUUAUUAAAGUGAAGGAUCUUAAUAAUUUUUAUGCUUUGCAACCCUAGGAGCCACACAAAAUAUAAUGUGUUUAGACCAUAUUUAUUUGCUGAAAAGUAAUUUCUUUUUAUAAAGAGAUUUUAUCAUAAGUGAAUUAUUUUUUUAUAUUUGAUAAUACCAUGAAAAAUAAGUUGGAAAAUAUCUUUUAAUAUUUAAUUAUGUCAUGAAAGAUGAGGUGAAAAAUAAUUUUUUUAUUUUUUAUUUUUUUUCAAGUUUAUUAAAAGAAUGAGAAACAAGUCUUACAUAUAAAAAUAUUAAAGGAGGAUGAAAUUGGAAAAAAAAUUUAUUUUCAUAAACUAUUUCAAAUAAAAUAAAUAACAAUAAAAAGAAUUAGGACCAAAUCUGAUAAAUAAAAAAAUUUAAUUAAAAAAAGAUAAGAUAAAAGAAAAUAAAAAUAAAAAUAAAAAGAAUGAGAAUCAAAGUUGAUAUAAAAAUAAGAUUAAAUCAAAUUAUACGGGAUAGAAUUGAAAAAAAAACAUUCAAAACAAAAUGUAUAGCAAUCAAAAGAUUAAGGACUAAAUUGGAUACAAUCAAUAAAUAACAAGAUAUUUUUAAAUUUUUUACAAUUUCUAGAAAAAUUUUUCAGUCCAAAAUAAAUAUAAAAUAAUUUUCUAGAAAUCAAAUCAAAUUUAAUAUUUUUUAUUUUUAAAAAAUGAUUUUUAAUAUAAAAUAUCAAAAUAAUUAUAUGUAAAGUAAUAUAAAUAAUGUUUUUUUCAUUUUAAAAUAUUAAUAUAUUAAAAUAAUAUGAUAACAUAAAAAAAAUAUUAAAUUAAAAUAAAAAAAAUAAUUUUAAUAUUUUUAAAAUACGUUCAAAAAGAAAUUCCAAACACUAGCAAUAUGGGUGCUUCAUAAGAAAGAUCGAAGGUGACAUUCAUUAUAACUCUACUGCCCCACAUCUCUCUCCUACCUGCAGCAACCACUAAUAGAAUGUUCAUGGCGUCUUCUUCUUCUUCUUUGCCUAGACCUGGUUGGGUUUACGAUGUAUUUCUAAGUUUUAGAGGUGAAGAUACUCGCAAAAAUUUUACGGAUCAUCUUUACACUGCUUUACUCCAAGCAGGAAUCCAUACAUUUCGAGACGACGAAAAACUUCGUAGAGGUGAAGAAAUCUCCUUCCAACUCUCCAAAGCAAUACAAGAAUCCAAGAUUUCUAUAGUGGUUUUCUCUGAGGGCUAUGCUUCCUCCACUUGGUGUCUUGGUGAACUUCAAAAGAUUCUUGAUUGCAGACACACAACUGGGCAGAUUGUUCUACCUGUUUUCUAUGAUAUCGAUCCUUCUGAUAUUAGAAAGCAGACGGGGAGUCUUGCUGAAGCCUUUGGUAAACAUGAAGAAAGUUUUAAGGAAGAAAUGGAGAAGGUCCAAAAGUGGAGAAAAGCUCUUUUGGAGGCUGCAAAUUUAUCUGGGUUGGAUCGUCGCAGUAUCGCAAAUGGGUGCUUCUUUUCUUUCCCUAUAUCGAUAGCAAAUGCUUAUAACUUUUACUCUUAUUACAUUUUGCAUUUUAAAUUUGCAUUAAAUUCAAAAUAUUAUCUUUCAUCGAUGAGUGAUGACUUUCUUUUUCUAUGCACAGGCAUGAGUCAAAAUUAAUUCAAAAGAUUGUCGAAGACGUUUCAAGUAUUUUGAAUCCCAGAAACAUAAACGAUAGGUUGCUGAAGAGGUUGAAGACAACAAUGAUAUCUGGCAAUGGGCUGCUUGACGAUGCUGAGGAGAAGCAGAUAACAAAUAAAGCUGUGCGGGAUUGGCUGGCCGAGUAUAAAGACGCUGUCUAUGAAGCCGACGACUUCUUGGAUGAGAUUGCUUAUGAAGCUCUACGGCAGGAGUUGGAAGCUGAAGCACAAACCUUCAGAGAUCAGACGCAGAAGCUUCUUUCUUUCAUUAACCCACUUGAAAUAAUGGGGUUGAGGGAGAUAGAAGAAAAAUCAAGAGGCCUCCAGGAGAGUCUAGAUGACUUAGUAAAACAAAAGGAUGCCCUUGGUUUGAUCAACCGCACUGGUAAAGAACCAUCAUCGCAUAGAACACCAACAACUUCUCACGUGGAUGAAUCUGGUGUUUAUGGUAGAGAUGAUGACAGGGAAGCAAUACUGAAGUUGCUUCUAUCAGAGGAUGCAAAUAGAGAAAGCCCGGGUGUCGUCUCCAUAAGGGGAAUGGGCGGGGUUGGUAAAACCACGCUUGCUCAGCAUGUAUACAAUCGCAGCGAAUUACAAGAGUGGUUCGGUCUCAAAGCCUGGGUUUAUGUUUCAGAAGAUUUUAGUGUUUUGAAGUUAACCAAGAUGAUCCUUGAGGAGGUCGGUUCAAAGCCUGAUUCUGAUAGUCUGAAUAUUCUCCAGCUUCAGUUGAAGAAGAGAUUGCAGGGAAAGAGAUUUUUGCUUGUUCUAGAUGACGUUUGGAAUGAAGAUUAUGCUGAGUGGGACAAGUUGCUUACCCCCCUGAAGUACGGAGCACAAGGGAGUAAGAUUCUUGUCACAACACGCAAUGAAAGUGUAGCAUCAGUCAUGCAAACUGUCCCAACUCAUCAUCUAAAAGAAUUGACGGAAGACAGCUGCUGGUCCUUGUUUGCCAAACAUGCAUUUCGUGGUGAAAAUCCCACUGCUCAUGAAGAGUUGCUAGAAAUUGGUAGAGCAAUAGCGAGAAAGUGUAAAGGCCUUCCUCUAGCUGCAGUAACACUCGGAGGUCUGCUACGCACCAAAAGAGAUGUAGAGGAGUGGGAGAAGAUAUUGGAAAGCAAUCUAUGGGAUUUACCCAAAGACAAUAUCCUCCCAGCUUUGAGAUUAAGUUAUCUUUAUCUCCUGCCACAUCUGAAGCAAUGUUUUGCUUAUUGUGCUAUAUUUUCAAAAGACUAUUCAUUUCGAAAGGAUGAAUUAGUGCUCCUGUGGAUGGCAGAGGGCUUCUUAGUCCACUCUGUAGACGAUGAGAUGGAAAGAGCAGGUGCUGAGUGCUUUGAUGAUCUCUUGUCAAGGUCGUUUUUCCAGCAAUCAAGCUCAUCAUUUGUGAUGCACGAUCUCAUGCAUGACUUGGCUACCCAUGUGUCCGGUCAAUUUUGCUUCAGCUCCAGGUUGGGGGAAAAUAAUUCUUCCAAGGCCACCAGAAGGACUCGACAUUUAUCACUCGUAGAUACGAGAGGCGGUUUUUCAAGUACAAAAUUAGAAAACAUCCGUCAAGCCCAACUUCUACGCACAUUCCAAACUUUUGUACGCUAUUGGGGUCGUUCUCCUGAUUUUUAUAAUGAGAUCUUUCAUAUAUUGUCAACACUUGGGCGCCUACGUGUGCUAUCCUUGUCUAACUGUGCCGGUGCAGCUAAGAUGCUUUGUUCAACUAGCAAGUUGAAGCAUUUGCGGUAUUUGGAUCUCUCUCAGUCAGAUUUAGUAAUGUUGCCUGAAGAAGUGAGUGCUCUUCUCAAUUUGCAAACGUUGAUCUUGGAAGAUUGCCUCCAACUUGCUAGUCUACCUGAUCUUGGAAAUUUGAAGCACUUACGACAUCUGAAUCUUGAAGGAACAGGAAUCGAAAGGUUGCCUG